rnacentral:rRNA from 1 species
AUGCAAGUCGAACGGUAACAGGAAGCAGCUUGCUGCUUUGCUGACGAGUGGCGGACGGGUGAGUAAUGUCUGGGAAACUGCCUGAUGGAGGGGGAUAACUACUGGAAACGGUGGCUAAUACCGCAUAACGUCGCAAGACCAAAGAGGGGGACCUUCGGGCCUCUUGCCAUCAGAUGUGCCCAGAUGGGAUUAGCUUGUUGGUGAGGUAACGGCUCACCAAGGCGACGAUCCCUAGCUGGUCUGAGAGGAUGACCAGCCACACUGGAACUGAGACACGGUCCAGACUCCUACGGGAGGCAGCAGUGGGGAAUAUUGCACAAUGGGCGCAAGCCUGAUGCAGCCAUGCCGCGUGUAUGAAGAAGGCCUUCGGGUUGUAAAGUACUUUCAGCGGGGAGGAAGGUGUUGUGGUUAAUAACCGCAGCAAUUGACGUUACCCGCAGAAGAAGCACCGGCUAACUCCGUGCCAGCAGCCGCGGUAAUACGGAGGGUGCAAGCGUUAAUCGGAAUUACUGGGCGUAAAGCGCACGCAGGCGGUCUGUCAAGUCGGAUGUGAAAUCCCCGGGCUCAACCUGGGAACUGCAUUCGAAACUGGCAGGCUUGAGUCUUGUAGAGGGGGGUAGAAUUCCAGGUGUAGCGGUGAAAUGCGUAGAGAUCUGGAGGAAUACCGGUGGCGAAGGCGGCCCCCUGGACAAAGACUGACGCUCAGGUGCGAAAGCGUGGGGAGCAAACAGGAUUAGAUACCCUGGUAGUCCACGCCGUAAACGAUGUCUACUUGGAGGUUGUGCCCUUGAGGCGUGGCUUCCGGAGCUAACGCGUUAAGUAGACCGCCUGGGGAGUACGGCCGCAAGGUUAAAACUCAAAUGAAUUGACGGGGGCCCGCACAAGCGGUGGAGCAUGUGGUUUAAUUCGAUGCAACGCGAAGAACCUUACCUGGUCUUGACAUCCACGGAAGUUUUCAGAGAUGAGAAUGUGCCUUCGGGAACCGUGAGACAGGUG